GGAGAGGUGGCCGAGCGGCUGAAGGCAGCAUCCUGCUAAGAUGUUAGGGGGGCAACUCCCUCGAGGGUUCGAAUCCCUCCCUCUCCG
rnacentral:tRNA from 4 species